rnacentral:lncRNA from 1 species
AUGUUUCUUCUGUUUAGUUUGCCAUUGAUCCUGGCUCCAUCUUUGGACUUUCUGAUCCCUGCCCUGGCCAUGCUUUCUGCUCAGUCAGGGGCUGCUGUGGCCUGCAGGGGGCAGUGCACUGAACCGGAGGAGCCUGUGGCCCCAGCACACCCAGUAAGAGAGGUGUGUGUGCAGUUGAGAGGCAUGGCUGUGGUGGCAGGUAUGGUGCAGCUCGCUGUGGGUUUGACUGGUCUGAGUGGCUUUGCACUGGGACGUUGUGCACCAUUAGUUCUGGCUCCUCUCCUCUGCCUUCUGGGGUUUUUCAUCUACAGGGAGGCAGCGCUGCUUUGUUCUGACCACUGGGGCAUGGCUGCACUGUAAGGACACACUUUUCUGAAGUCUUUCAAAUUGCGUACACUGUCCAGGAAAAAAUAACAUUAGCAAUUUGUAAUAUGUUUAAUUUUAGUUGAACAAUAUUAAUUAAACAAUAUAGAAAUACCUUAUAAAAACAGAUUGGAAGGAAUAAGUGUUUCUUUUGCACUGUUGCAGUCAGUGUGUAACUUUUAUUUCAGGGCAGUUGUUCUUCUGGUGAUCCUGUCUCAGCAUCUGCCCUCCUUUCUGUGGCUGUCUGUGUUCUCCCUCUGCAGAAGACUCUCUCUGAGUCAAAUCAAGGGUUUUUGUUUAAAUUCAGGAUGACUUAAGACUGAAAUACACUGUAAGACUGAACUGAUUUUAAAACACUAGGCAUGAUACACUUGCUGACUUUCUUUGUAAAUGGUAAUAGAGAGAAACUGGGCAUAAUACACUAAACAACUGAGGAUCGCAUACUAACUUGCACAGAAACAAGUGUCCUUUUUCUAGGCAUGAUACACUUGCUGACUUUCUUUGUAAAUGGUAGUAGAGAGAACUGGGCAUAAUACACUAAACAACUGAGGAUCGCAUACUAACUUGCACAGAAACAAGUGCCUUUUUCCUGGGAGACAAAUUGAAACAUAGAUGAAUUGGGUUAAAAAUAUUAAACAUGUUCAAUAUCCUCCAACUGGAUGGAAUCAAAAGCUAAAAAAUCAGAGUCUGUGCCUAUCAAACACUAAAUUAUUUUCUGUGAAAUGUCAGCUUUAAUCUGCAGACUGUCUCUGAUUUUCGGCAACUAGUGUUCCCUCAUCCAGACUGGGAAAGUCAUGUAGUGUAUUCCAGCCUUUAGUUUGAUUUUGAGAGCCAAGUUUACUUUCACUUCCAAAACUAGUCUAACACAGACACCUUCAGUCAUGAUUUAUGGGAUUUCCUGUGUUGUGGUAGUCGAGCUCUUUUACAGCUUUUAACCUGCAGUACAUUAGAUCAGUGUUUUGCCUAUAAGAAGAUUAUAUCAUUGAUCUGGGCAAAGUUUCCCAACAAAGAUGUGCCUUGUGUUACAGUGAUCUUUGGCUAAAAUGUUCUUAAUUUAAUAUGAGGUUGAAUGUUGUCAAAGGUUAUGGGAAACAGUUUAAAGCUUUUUAUGAGUGAUCGUAAGCUCGUAUUGGAAUCUUGCUUUUGGGAAAUCCUUAUUGGUUUUUCUCUGCUGUGUGGAAGUAGACAGUGCCUGACUGUCUAGUUAUUAUUCUCAUCCAUCUAAGGCUGUGUAAAUGUUUUGAUGUGGGGUUGUUUGCGUGCAGCUAAAAAUGUAUGAAUUGCAAUAUCCAGUUUGAUGUAUUUUUUAAAGCAUUUAUUUGUAAAUGUACAUGUUACAAUGCAUGUGUAGAAAUUGAUAUUAACCUAUAUUAAUGGUUGUUGGAAAAUAUUUUCAAAUUAGACUUUACACUACCCUUGUAAAGUUUUGGGCCAGUAAGAUUUAUUUUUUAAGAAAUGUAUACUUUUUCAGCAAGGGUGCAUUAUAUUGAUCAAAAGUGACAGUGAAGACAUUUAAGGAUCAUGUGAUACUGAAGACUGGAGUAAUGAUACUGAAAAGCUUUACAUCGCAGGAAUAAAUUACAUACUAAAUAUACAUUCAAAUAGAAAACAUUUUAAAUGUUAAUAAUAUUUUAUAAUAUUAUUGCCUUUAUUUUUUUGCUCAAAUAACAUUGAAGAUAAUCUUCUAAAACAUAAAAAAAUCUUACCAACCCCAAACGUGUAAAGUGUAUAAAUAUUACAUUCGAUAUAAAAUGUGGCAUCUGCAAAUAAAUUGUUUUUUUUUUUUUUUACUUUCUAGGCCAUUAUUGCAAUCACUUUUAAAGGGAUACUCCAUCCCAAAAUGAAAAUUUAGUCAUUAUUCACUUACCCCCAUGUCGUUCCAAACCCCUAAAAAGCUUUGUUUCCAAAUCAGUGUACCGCCAUUUUGCCAAUUCUGAGCUGUACGCAGGCGGCUUACACUCUUCUGUGUCAGCCGCUACACGAGGAUACAUUUUUUACAUGUAUUUACGCUUUAGUUUGAAAGCAAACAGCGCAUCGGCACCGUGCGGCUGACACAGAAGUGUGUGCGCCACUUACGAACUGCUCAGAAUUGUCAAAAUAGUGCUACGCUGAUUUGGAGAGACACAGAGGAGAGGAAUUGUUGAAUAAAGUCUUUAUUUUUGUUUUCUUCAUGUACAAAAAGUAUUCUUGUCGUCUCAUAACGUUACGGUUGAAUCACUGAUGGCAGAUGGACUAUUCUGAUGAUGCUUUUCAUACUUUCCUGGACCUUGACAGUGUUAUUUAUUUGGCAGUCUAUGGGACAGUCACAAGCCUCCCUGUUUUCAUCCAAAAUAUCUUGAAUUGUGUUCCGAAGACAAACCAAGCUUUUACGGGUUUGGAACGACAUGGGGGUAAGUGAUUAAUGACAAAAUUUUAAUUUUGCGGUGGAGUCACCCUUUAAUCUGUUUUGUAUGUACAUAAAAUAACACAGGUGCAUUGACAUUUAUGCCCUUAAUGGGUCACUGUAUAUUGUUCCUGCUUUUGUGUCCAUCCUGUAGGUA